rnacentral:rRNA from 1 species
UGGGGAAUAUUGGACAAUGGACGCAAGUCUGAUCCAGCGAUGCCGCGUGAGUGAAGAAGGCCUUCGGGUUGUAAAGCUCUUUUACUUGGGAAGAAAAAUGGUCGACUAAUAAUCGAACACUAUGACGGUACCAAGAGAAUAAGCACCGGCUAACUAUGUGCCAGCAGCCGCGGUAAUACAUAGGGUGCAAGCGUUAAUCGGAAUUAUUGGGCGUAAAGAAUUUGUAGGCGGUUGUGUAAGUUGAAUGUGAAAUCCCUGGGCUCAACCUAGGAAUGGCGUUCAGAACUACACAGCUAGAGUAUGUUAGAGGAGAGUGGAAUUCCUAGUGUAGCAGUGAAAUGCAUAGAGAUUAGGAGGAACACCAGUGGCGAAGGCGACUCUCUGGGACAAUACUGACGCUGAGAAAUGAAAGCGUGGGGAGCAAACGGG